rnacentral:rRNA from 1 species
UACAACAUAGUGUUAAUGCAUUGGAUCCCAUUAGAAAUUUGUAGUUAAGCGAGCUAAAUAUAGAGUAGUACUAGGAUGGGUGACCUCUCAUGAAGUCCUAGUGUUUAAC